rnacentral:rRNA from 1 species
GAUGAACGCUGGCGGCGUGCCUAAUACAUGCAAGUCGAGCGAACGGACGAGAAGCUUGCUCCCCUGAUGUUAGCGGCGGACGGGUGAGUAACACGUGGAUAACCUACCUAUAAGACGGGGAUAACUUCGGGAAACCGGAGCUAAUACCGGAUGAUAUUUUGAACCGCAUGGUUCAAAAGUGAAAGACGGUCUUGCUGUUACUUAUAGAUGGAUCCGCGCUGCAUUAGCUAGUUGGUAAGGUAACGGCUUACCAAGGCAACGAUGCAUAGCCGACCUGAGAGGGUGAUCGGCCACACUGGAACUGAGACACGGUCCAGACUCCUACGGGAGGCAGCAGUAGGGAAUCUUCCGCAAUGGGCGAAAGCCUGACGGAGCAACGCCGCGUGAGUGAUGAAGGUCUUCGGAUCGUAAAGCUCUGUUAUUAGGGAAGAACAUAUGUGUAAGUAACUGUGCACAUCUUGACGGUACCUAAUCAGAAAGCCACGGCUAACUACGUG